UACGUAGGGUGCAAGCGUUGUCCGGAAUUAUUGGGCGUAAAGAGCUCGUAGGCGGUUUGUCGCGUCUGCUGUGAAAAUCCAGGGCUUAACCCUGGACCUGCAGUGGGUACGGGACAGACUGGAGUGCGGUAGGGGAGAUCGGAAUUCCUGGUGUAGCGGUGAAAUGCGCAGAUAUCAGGAGGAACACCGGUGGCGAAGGCGGAUCUCUGGGCCGUAACUGACGCUGAGGAGCGAAAGCAUGGGGAGCGAACAGG
rnacentral:rRNA from 1 species